rnacentral:precursor_RNA from 15 species
UUUAGAACUGACAAUAGCUGUAGUUCGUUUCGAGGUGUUGCACAGUUAAUAUUGUACCUUAAAGCAAUAUUUUCUGUGUGAACCUCGGAUUGGACUUUGGAUUUUCAACUUUUGUCCUG